rnacentral:rRNA from 1 species
UACGUAGGGUGCAAGCGUUGUCCGGAAUUAUUGGGCGUAAAGAGCUCGUAGGCGGUUUGUCGCGUCUGCUGUGAAAACGCGGGGCUCAACUCCGCGCCUGCAGUGGGUACGGGCAGACUAGAGUGCAGUAGGGGAGACUGGAAUUCCUGGUGUAGCGGUGAAAUGCGCAGAUAUCAGGAGGAACACCGGUGGCGAAGGCGGGUCUCUGGGCCGUAACUGACGCUGAGGAGCGAAAGCGUGGGGAGCGAACAGG